rnacentral:tRNA from 1 species
CGGAAUGUAACUCAGCUUGGCCAGAGUGCACCGUUUGGGGCGGUGAAGUCGUGGGUUCGAAUCCCUCCAUUCCGA